AACGCACAUUGCGCCCUUUGGUAUUCCUUAGGGCAUGCCUGUUCGAGCGUCAUUUAAACCCUCAAGCUCUGCUUGGUGUUGGGCGUCUGUCCCGCCUCUGGCGCGGACUCGCCUCGAAGAAAUUGGCGGUUGGUGUAUUGGCCGGAAGCGCAGCAGAAACGCGCCUUUCCUUGCCUCGCGCCUUCUUCCAGGAAGCCAUACUUAUAUCUUGACCUCGGAUCAGGUAGGGAUACCCGCUGAACUUAA
rnacentral:misc_RNA from 1 species